rnacentral:rRNA from 1 species
GAUGAACGCUAGCGACAGGCUUAACACAUGCAAGUCGAGGGGCAGCACAGGUAGCAAUACCGGGUGGCGACCGGCGCACGGGUGAGUAACGCGUAUGCAACUUGCCUAUCAGAGGGGGAUAACCCGGCGAAAGUCGGACUAAUACCGCAUGAAGCAGGGGCCCCGCAUGGGGAUAUUUGCUAAAGAUUCAUCGCUGAUAGAUAGGCAUGCGUUCCAUUAGGCAGUUGGCGGGGUAACGGCCCACCAAACCGACGAUGGAUAGGGGUUCUGAGAGGAAGGUCCCCCACAUUGGUACUGAGACACGGACCAAACUCCUACGGGAGGCAGCAGUGAGGAAUAUUGGUCAAUGGGCGUAAGCCUGAACCAGCCAAGUCGCGUGAGGGAUGAAGGUUCUAUGGAUCGUAAACCUCUUUUAUAAGGGAAUAAAGUGCGGGACGUGUCCUAUUUUGUAUGUACCUUAUGAAUAAGGAUCGGCUAACUCCGUGCCAGCAGCCGCGGUAA